rnacentral:rRNA from 1 species
AUUGAACGCUGGCGGCAGGCUUAACACAUGCAAGUCGAGCGAGCGGCGGACGGGUGAGUAAUGUAUGGGAAACUGCCUGAUGGAGGGGGAUAACUACUGGAAACGGUAGCUAAUACCGCGUACCAUCAGAUGAGCCCAGGUGGGAUUAGCGAGUAGGUGGGGUAAGGGUUCACCUAGGCGACGAUCCCUAGCUGGUCUGAGAGGAUGACCAGCCAGACUGGAACUGGGACACGGUCCAGACUCCUACGUGAGUAAGAAGUGGGGAAUAUGGCACAAUGGGGGCAAGCCUGAUGCAGCCAUGCCGCGUGUAGGAAGAAGGCCUUCGGGUUGUAAAGCACUUUCAGCGAGGAGGCGUUACUCGCAGAAGAAGCACCGGCUAACUCCGUGCCAGCAGCCGCGGUAAUUC